AGUUGACGGAGCACGCGCGUGAGUGAUGAAGGUUCGGAUCUAACUCUGUUGUUAGGGAAGAACAAGUGCAUAUAACUGAUGGCACCUUGACGGUACCUAACCAGAAAGCCACGGCUAACUACGUGCCAGCAGCCGCGGUAAUACGUAUGUGGCAAGCGUUGUCCGGAAUUAUUGGGCGUAAAGCGCUCGCAGGCGGUUCUUUAAGUCUGAUGUGAAAUCUUACGGCUCAACCGUAAACGUGCAUUGGAAACUGGGGAACUUGAGUGCAGAAGAGGAGAGUGGAAUUCCACGUGUAGCGGUGAAAUGCGUAGAGAUGUGGAGGAACACCAGUGGCGAAGCGACUCUCUGGUCUGUAACUGACGCUGAGGAGCGAAAGCGUGGGG
rnacentral:rRNA from 1 species